CCUUUUGUGAAGUCACAUCAUGUGCCUCUGAGUAAAUGGCUUGCAGAUAGCGCCUUUUGUGAAGUUUCACUUGAAACCCUGAAGGGCAUUUACAUCUUGAUUCAACCACAGCUUCCCUGAGCAAAUCAGCUGCUCAGAUGGAACGAAAUCAAGGAGGAAUGAAUUCACCAACUUACUGCAUGUUAAUUCUUAAUUCUUUUGCAAACCUUACAAAAUAAUUUCCUAUGGAAGAAGAAUGAAUCCAGGAAGCCUAUUGCGAUUGUUCGGCGGAGUUUCAUGGAGGUCUUGGUUUGUUGGGAUCAAGGUGCACAACUCUACAUCUUCUGCUUCUAGGAGUUUUUGGUGGGACAAAGCAGCCUUCCCUAACUUGAUACUUACCUGUUGUAUUGGAUCACAAAAGAGGGGUGGACAACUGUGUUUCAUCAGAUUUUUUUAAAACUUCCAUCAUUCCUCACUAUUGGCUAUUUUGGACAAUGUAACAUUGCCUCCAAAAAAUCCUGCAAAUCUCUUGGGAAGACAGGCGGACAAAUGUCAGCAUGCUGGAAGAAGCAAAGACCACCAGCACUGAAGCAAUGUUCCUACGCCAUCAACUCCCCUAAACUGGCCACGUUGUCCGAAUGCCCGAUCACCGUCUCCCAAAGCAGUUGCUCUACUCCGAACUCUAGAACAGGAAACGUAAUGUUGGUGGGCAGGAAAAGAGAUUUAAAGAUGGGCUCAAAGCCAACCUUAAAAACUGUGGCAUAUACACCGAGAACUGAGAAGCCCUGGCCCUUGAGCACUCUAAUUGGGAGUCAGCUGUUACCAACAGUGCUACAGAAUUCAAAGGGGCAUGAACUGAGGGCUUAAGGGAUAAACGUAUCAAGAGGAAGGCGCAUCAAGACAACCCUGACCAGGACUGCCUUCCAUCUGGAAACUGAUGUCUUCACUGCGGAAGAACAUGCGGGUCAAGAAUAAGUCUCCACAGCCACCUACGCAUCCACCGCCAAGACACUACACAUGGAGGACCAUCAUCCUUGAGCUACGAGGGAUCAUCUAAGUAAGCAAGCAAGCAAGCAAGCUAUUCUGGACAAAGUUGGUAGAAACUGGAGACCAAGAAGAUCUGGAGGGCCAUGAGACUACCACCCAAGUUUAUUUUGUUCCAAUAACAACGCAUAGUUCCUUGUAAAUAACUGUACAACCAAAAGGGGGGAGGUAGUCCAAUUCAUCCUUGUGUGAUGGUUUUUCUUUGGCUUUGGAAUGGUUUCUAUAUAGCUUCAGGUACAAUUUGAUCCAUAGUCACAGACUGGUAGACAUUGUCCCCCUGGACCUAUGGAUAAGCAUCAUGAAAGAGACUAAUGUUAUCUAAGCAUUAAAUAGAUUCUCAGUGCAUCUACAACUGCAGAAUUGAUGCAACUAGACACUAUGUUAAGUGCUAUGUUGUUAUUUGGUGAGAUACCAGCUCUCUUUGGCAAAGAAGGCUAAAGACUUUGUAAAACUAAAACUCCAAUGAUUCCAUACCAUUGAGCCAUAGCAAUUCAAGUGUCAAAUGCAUUAAUUCUACUGGUGUUCAUGCACCCAUAAAUUACACAUUCAAGACUGGAAAUAAGGGGGCAGUGCUAAAUGAAAAUGUUUUUUGCCCAAGUGCUACUUGGACUCAUUUUCAAAGACAAUAGUAAGGAUCAUACUGGGUCAAAGAAAAGCCCUAUUUAGUUUUAACAUUCUAUGCAACCCAUCAUUGCUUAUGAGAAGUCAUCAAAACACAACUGCACCUUCUAUUUUAAAUUCUAGUGUAUGGUGAACAAGGAAGAAGCCUGCCAACACCUAGAGAUAUUGUGAGGAAACGAAAAACACCUUUGGUUCAUGAAUACAAUGAUAUAUUUUUGAAGCUGAACCGAAAUUAAUGAGGAGCAAGGAUGCAUACUUGAGAAUGGUAGAUAAGAGAUGGGAUAAGAAUGACUUACUCUUUUGGGCUGGAAUUAAUGAGGAAAGUUUAAAGAUAACACAACACUUGGAACAUUUUCUCAGUAAAUAAGCUUUGAAAAUAAGAGCUUAUCUCACAACUGUCCCCCUAUGAAAUACAAAAACACAGCUUUUAAAAACAAUUUGUGUGAAAAGAUCAUUUUUAUUUUUUUCUUUACUGCUGUAUUGCUUUUCUUAAAAAACAAGGUUACAAUGUAAACUUAAUUGUGGCAAAGGAAUAAUGUUUAGAAUUAACAUUAUUCUAUUUUAGUCUUUUUUAUUUUUAUUUUUUCAAAAUUGGUUCUAUUUAAUUCCUUAACACAUUGUUGAACUUUGUUUUGGACCUUGAUUUCUAAAGCCAAAAACAUCGCAUGUUCUCUGCUUCCAUUAAUACUGGUAGCUGGUUGACAGAUUUAUAGGACCUGACAUGAUGCACCAGGAAAAAUCUUUGGGUGCAAAGAGUUGUGGCAUUGAAGUUUGGAUAAUAGAAGUUGGAGAGGUACUAAUCGGAAAUGCUACAUCUAACGGGGAGAAACUGCAACUUUGGACAUCUUCCCAGAUGCAGAGGACAGAUUGGUGCAAACUUUUCUGUCAAAGAGGUAAUACCCAGGAACACAUCUACUUUCUUAAGUGAGAUAAUAGCAAUAAAAACCUCAUUUUUCA